rnacentral:lncRNA from 1 species
GCGCCCCGAAUUCCCGCGGGGUCCCCUUCCUGCCCGCUCCCAGCGCCCCGAAUUCCCGCGGGGUCCCCUUCCCAUCCUCUCCCGGCGCCCCGAAUUCCCGCGGAGUUCCCUUCCCAUCCUCUCCCGGCACCCCGAAUUCCCGCGGGGUUCCCUUCCUGCCCGCUCCCGGCGCCCCGAAUUCCCGCGGUUGCUGUGGAAACCACACGCGGCGCGGAUGCUCCGCGUUUUUGGCCGUCCCGCAGCUGUUUCCACUCGAGGCCGCCGGAAUAUUUUUGUCCUCUGGAACAAAGAAAAAGAGCUUGGAAAGAAAAUCCCAAAACAAAGCAACCCAAAACCUUCUGAGAGCACCAAACGCUUCCCCACCACUGCCAAGGCCACCCUGACCAUGUCCCCAAGUGCCACCUCCGCUUUUGAAUCCCCUCAGGAAGGGGGACCCACACCCCUGCCCUGGGCUGGAGGGUCCUGCCCAGGAGGAAUUUUCCCAAAAUCCAACCUGAACCUUCCGUGGCACCACUCGAGGCUGUUUCCUGCUGUGCUGCCCCUUGUCCCCUGUGAGGAGAUUCCCCCAAAAACCCCCCAAAUCCUCCUGGGAGGUGAUGGAUGUGAGGGGUGAGGGGAAACCAGGAGGAGACGUGUCCAGAGGGGUCAGGAAUUGGUGGGAAUCGGGAAUUCAAAUCUCCCAUCCGGUGACUUCUCCCUGAGUCAAGCUGGGCUUGGCUGAGUGGUUUUGUUUUUUUUUUUUUUUCUUUAAGGCUUGAAAUUUUCCCCGAUGUGUCAAAAGCAGCACCAGAAAAACCCCCAGCGAGCUGGAGGAGUUACUGAAACCACUUUGGUGCCUCGUGACCUUUCCAUGAGAAGUUUGGAUGAAUAUCCUCCCAGAAAAACACUCACUGAAAGAACAAAUUGAAAUGUUUGAGGGAAAAGCCACAGACCCUCCAAAUGUGGGGACAAAAGCCCCUUGGGGUGUGGGGCUGCUCCUUCCUGCACUUCAAAGCUCAUUGUGUUCCUCCCUUGGCUCCGGGAUCCCAGCCCCGAUCCCAAACCUCCCCUCCCCCGGCCAGAACCCUUCUCCUGGUGAAAUUCAAUUCAAUUUUCUUUUAUUUUAAAAGGAAAACAAUAAAAAACAAAACAAAAAAACCCA